CACGUAGGGUGCGAGCGUUGUCCGGAAUUAUUGGGCGUAAAGAGCUCGUAGGCGGUGUGUCGCGUCGGCCGUGAAAACUUGCAGCUUAACUGUGGGCGUGCGGUCGAUACGGGCAUCACUGGAGUUCGGCAGGGGAGACUGGAAUUCCUGGUGUAGCGGUGAAAUGCGCAGAUAUCAGGAGGAACACCGGUGGCGAAGGCGGGUCUCUGGGCAAUAACUGACGCUGAGGAGCGAAAGCGUGGGGAGCGAACAGG
rnacentral:rRNA from 1 species